AACGCUAGCUACAGGCUUAACACAUGCAAGUCGAGGGGCAUCAGGGUAGCAAUACCGCUGGCGACCGGCGCACGGGUGAGUAACACGUAUCCAACCUACCGUUAACUCGGGGAUAGCCUUUCGAAAGAAAGAUUAAUACCCGAUAGUAUGUUUUCUUCGCAUGUUGAAAAUAUUAAAGAAUUUCGGUUAUCGAUGGGGAUGCGUUCCAUUAGGCAGUUGGCGGGGUAACGGCCCACCAAACCUACGAUGGAUAGGGGUUCUGAGAGGAAGGUCCCCCACAUUGGAACUGAGACACGGUCCAAACUCCUACGGGAGGCAGCAGUGAGGAAUAUUGGUCAAUGGACGAAGGUCUGAACCAGCCAAGUAGCGUGAAGGAUGACUGCCCUAUGGGUUGUAAACUUCUUUUAUAUGGGAAUAAAGUUCUCCACGUGUGGAGUUUUGUAUGUACCAUUAUGAAUAAGCAUCGGCUAACUCCGUGCCAGCAGCCGCGGUAAUACGGAGGAUGCGAGCGUUAUCCGGAUUUAUUGGGUUUAAAGGGAGCGUAGGUGGACUGGUAAGUCAGUUGUGAAAGUUUGCGGCUCAACCGUAAAAUUGCAGUUGAUACUGUCAGUCUUGAGUACAGUAGAGGUGGGCGGAAUUCGUGGUGUAGCGGUGAAAUGCUUAGAUAUCACGAAGAACUCCGAUUG
rnacentral:rRNA from 1 species